AAAAGCAUGAGAUGCUCUGCAGCAACAGUUCUCCAGGGCUGAGAUCAAGUCGUGAGUAUAUCAUCUUUCUGUCUCCUCUCUAAUCCAACGCCCGUCAUUCGCACUGACAGAAGUGAACCUUCAGAAUCCAAGAGUCAUUCGCCAGAAAUGUUACAAGAGCAAAGUGUGCGUUUUAUUAUCCCCCAGAAGGUGCAUGCGGGUGCUGGGGAUAAAACCACGCAGCAGAGCCCCUGCUUGGUGUGCACAAGUCCCCGGGCUCAGGCUCCAGGGAAGAAAUGGGGUGUGGGGACAGAAUUUUCUGUUUCUCUGUCUAACAGUAAUUCUGCCUGUCUGCCCCAAGUGAAUGAAGCUCAACAAGGACACAAUGGAAGUGAGACGAAGCAGAGAGGCUCACAGAAAGGCUCACUCCUGCCUUCUGCUCCUGGCUUGCAAGAGUGAAAGUGUCAAACAUACUGAAUGUGGGGCAGCAGGCAUGGGGGAAUAAAGGGAGUGGGAGAAAA
rnacentral:lncRNA from 1 species